rnacentral:rRNA from 1 species
UACGUAGGGCGCAAGCGUUGUCCGGAAUUAUUGGGCGUAAAGAGCUCGUAGGCGGUUUGUCGCGUCUGCUGUGAAAACCUAAGGCUCAACCUUGGGCUUGCAGUGGGUACGGGCAGACUAGAGUGCGGUAGGGGUGACUGGAAUUCCUGGUGUAGCGGUGGAAUGCGCAGAUAUCAGGAGGAACACCGAUGGCGAAGGCAGGUCACUGGGCCACAACUGACGCUGAGGAACGAAAGCUAGGGUAGCGAAAGGG